AGGAAUGUGUCUAGCACCUGGUGGUGUUCCCUGAUUCAAAACCAUUAGUGACUUAGAUGACAAAAAAUUCCAAAGGCGACACUGUUCACUGACCAGUUAGCCACGGUGUCAACACAUCUAAUUGAUACCUCAAGGUGCAUACAAAGGAGGACUUGAAAACCAAUUAUUGGAAUUUUCAUAAUGUGGCCACCAAUGUCUUGCAUGCCACACAUUCUAUUCCGAGACUGAUCCUCUAAAGAUACCACCAAGCCACUGUUCCAGUCUAGAUAUCUAAUAGCAGUUGAUGACGAACUUGCUUCUCUUGUAAGAGAAUUUCUAUGAAUCACUGGAUUAGACCAUUUUGUACAGACAAGAAAAGAAAAGCACUCUGCAAUACUAUAGAAAAACAAAAUAAGCCAAAUUUCAGCAUUGCUGCCAAAAGAAAGAAGGGUGAAGGUAAAAGACUAUUCAAGGUCAGGGAAUAGCACCCAUAAUUUAUGAACAAGUCCCACCAGCCAAAGGCAACAAUAUCACCUGCAAAGUUAGAAAAUAUAGGAAAUUAGAAAUCAAGACUAAAGUUAUAUUUAGGAGAAAUUAAGAAUUCAUGCAGUAUGAAGCAAGCACUUGAAUGGACAGUUCAGAGGACUACACAAGUCAUAUAAACCAAAUUAAAACCUUAAAACAACUCAACACCAGCUCACUGCUUAGAAAGUGAAAUCUUAUUGUAGAUAAAAUGGAAUAUGGAGUGUACAGACACACAACUUGAGGACUUGAAGUAAUUGUCUCUACCACCAAUGGGCAUGGGGCAGCCACAAUUGAAUUUUCUCUUCUCUUCCCAUAAAUUCCAACCAAAUAGUAAGACUUUCACAGAGAACAUGAUCAAAUGGCCAUCACAUAUGGGCAAAAUUUAAAUCGUUAGCUAUCUUCCGAACUACCAUGAUAAUGGUAAUAUAAUAAUCAAGCACUAAUGAUAAUUGAGCUUCCUUCUUUGUCUAGGGUAGCCGCUUGAAACAUGGACCUUCUUGAGGGCAAUUGUCGUACUAUCACCAAGUGGAAAUAAAUAGGAUUAUUUGAGCUCAAAACCAUGGAGAGCUAUUAGAUAGAUACACGAGGUGUAUUUGAUAUUGUAACGACCCAACAUCUGUGUUCAAGUCAUUAUAUCAUGCUUACUAUACGUUUCAGGAAAGUCUAAAUCCAUUUCACCUCUCACUGUAUUCUAUCAUGUAGCCCAAUUGAUAUUAGGAUUCAAAUUUAACUCUCCCAUAAAGCAGAGAUCUUGAGUUCGAAUUAUGGAAAACACGAUAGAAAGCCAUGAGAAGUAAGAAAGAUUUACUCUCUCAAAAUAGAUAGUACGUAUGAUCUAAGACUUGAGCACAAAGGCCCAAUCAAUAUAAAAAAAAGCAGGACGCUAUUUAAGCCUCCCAUAAGGUCUUUCUUGGGUCCAAACCAUUUGGAAUGUGAUAAAAAUUCACCAAGGGUAAGAGACAAAUGCUCUCCCAAAAUGGAUAGUACAUACGAUAUAACAACUUGGGAAUAGAGGCUAAAUCAAUAUAGAUAGCACCAGACUAACUUGUCAAUUCUAUGUGCUCUCAGAUUUGUUAAAGAAAGUUUUACCAAAAAUAAUAAGCCCCCAUUAAUUUACAUUCUAUUACAUUUCAUUUUUCUCUUCCCUAUUUUCAACCACACAAUCUUCCAUAAAAUAAUAUUAUACGUAAAUCGAAAACUUUUCUUUCUUUUUCAAUCACUCAUUUUUCAAAAAAAAAAAUACUAUUCCACCCAUUAAUUUUUCCAAAAAAUGGGGUCCAAACGGGGGCUAAGGCUCUAGCUCCUGAUAUUGUUAAGUCAUAAACAAAGCAAUCAAAACUUUUAAAUCCUCUAGGCAUUAAAUCUGCAACCUGGAACUCUUUUUUGAUGUCAGACGAGCUGUGUGCCUAGGUGAUGCAACCCAUAAUUGAGAUCUUCCAUAAGAAUCCAAAAAAGAAAACCUUGCACCUAUCCCUAUUGUCUAUAUAUCCCAAGCAUCACAUAAAGAGGGAGAGAAUGACCACCAAUAACAUUAUUUACCAUAAAUCCGAUUGUCAUUACUCCCUUUGUUCUCUCUUCAUCAUACCCCAGAGGAGUCACAUAAAAGUUACCAAAGAUUUUUAGCUCUUCUAGUUCACGUCCAAUUUUCCAACUGUGAUCAGAAGGCUUGGUCCAGUUAUCGACUAAUCGUAUCUCUCUUUUCUCAUGUCUAUAGUCAUUGAAAUCUCCCAGGAAAAACAGCAUCUAAAUAUCGACUCAACCAUACUCGUAUCUCUCUCUUUUCUCAUGUCUAUAGUUAUUGAAAUCUCCCAGGAAAAACAGCAUCUAAAUAUCGACUCAACCAUACUCUUUUCUCCCAUCCAGAUCAUUUAUAUUGAUUCCAACAUAAAUUUCCAAUUACUUUUAGCCACCCUUUGAACAUCAAUUUUCUUAGUAAUGAAAUCACCACACCUUUCGAGCAUUCUCUUUGUGACUCAGUGUACAAAGAAAUCUUUUUUCUUUUUUCUUUUUUUCUUUCUUUUUUUUUUUUCUUUUCAAUUAUGCUUUUCAGAGCCCCACUCCAUAUGGUUCCAUAGAAUUAACGAUUUCCCACACCCCCUCUCAUAUCGCUAUUCGCACUCAAUGAUGGGAAUUGAUGCUAUACUACAGCUACACUUCUCCCCUUUGACCAAAGAGUUUCGAGUCUUUGGAAAAUUGAAGGAUGACAAUACAUCUAAUUGAAGGAUGAAAAUACUGAAAACUCCAAAAAAAACAACACAUUCCUGAGUUCAUUCGUGGAAGGAAAACACAGGAUAAAGAACUUAGGAUGCAAGUUCUCUGAGACUGCUUGUCCAAGUAUCUUAUAUUUUGUUUAUCAAAGAUAAAGCAUGGGAUAAAAAUGGCAAACCAUGCAUUUCCAGAAUUAGAGCUCUCAUUUUUCCAUUCCUUCAAACUUAGAAAGGAAAAAACUUCAUAAGGAAUGCACUGAAUGAGGCAAUUCAUUAAUCUAUUUCCUGUCUAUUCAGUAAUGAAGGCAACAUUGGGCAAUGGAUUUAGGGCGGCCUCUAGUAACUAAUGGAUUUUAUUUAGCUAAAAAUCAGAACCUCAAAAAUGCCAUCUGCUUCCCUCAGCUGCACCAACCAACAAUGAUCGCCCAACUGCUGAGCAUAGAGAACCAGUUUGAUUUUAUUCCAGGAACAUUUACCUCAGAAGUCAUUUGCCUAGUCUGGGGAUUAAUGGAAAAUACUCAACAAAGAAGAAAUACUUGCAUAUGGUCUUUAUUGAUUUAGAGAAACUUAUAAUAAGGAUCUCAGGGUAAUAUAAACAAGGACUUGAUAUUAUAUAUAUACACCAAAAUUAUUAGGGACCACCUUUGGUUCAAAAGGAGAUAUAGCACUACUGCACAAGAAAAUGGGUAUGAACUCUGAAAGUGAUGAUCUGUGAUAAGGUAGCAAGGGAAUGUAAUACGUAUCAGAAGAGCAGAACUGACAAUAAUAACGACGACAACAACAAUAAUAAUAAAUAUAGAUUUAUGGCAUGCAAACUUUUUCUUUCCUUCUUUAUGGCAUGGGAAUCAUAGGAGAAACACAUGCAUAGAGCAAAAAGGGGAGGGGGGAGAGAGAGAGAGAGAGUCAUACCACACAGCUUCAGGACGGUGAACACUGUAGCAGUAAGAAAGAAAAUCAUGGAGAUCGCCACCCAGAAGUGCUAAUUACAAUUAAACUAUCAUUAGUAAAGCCAUUUUGAAAACCAAGAAAACUAAAACGAAAAUCUAGAAAUAUUCAUAGCAAAAUCAAUAAUAUAUUUCGAUCUCUUCUGAACGACAUUGUCCACAUCACAAGAAAAAAUUUUAAACUUCUUUGUAAUGCACAAGAAAGUAACCAGUAGAAUCUGGUUCACCAGCAAAACUUGCUAUUGCAAUAAUAGAAGUGUAGUCAUCAGAACUACUGAACAACGUUUAAGCACAGAGUAGGAACUAAGUUGGGCACAUUUUAUUAUUUCUGUUAAAUCAAAAGACUUACAGGAAGAGUUUCCCAUAUUGCCUCCUCACUCAUGCUUUCAUUAUCUCCAGGUAAUAAAGCCUUGCACAUUCUGUUUCAUUAAUAGAAAAUGUGUAAGGUAAAAGCAAGGUAUUCCAUGACAAAUCAAAUUAUGAAAAUUCCCCCCCCCCCCCCCCCCCCCGUCUUUGUGAGAGCAUGAUAUAGAUUUAACAUGCCUAUAAUAGUUUCUCCAUUUAUAAAAAUUUGACGGAGUUUUUGAUAGUGAUACUUAAAUUUAUAGUUAAUGAUUUAUUGAGUGUUAUUGAUUAUUACUUAUAUAUAAAGACCUGCUUGGUGGGAAUUAAAAUUAAAUUUUUUAUCGAAAUCAAAAAAAACAAUUAAUUUUAAUAAUAUAUUUCUAGGAAUCCAUAACUUUUUAGCUACAUAUGUCAUGACCAUGGAAAUGACACAAAACCCUCGCAUUAAAAUCAUGACUUCUAAAAUCAGGGAGAAAGUUUAACAUUUCAAAAAUCAGAAAUUUUAUUUUAAUUAGCAUUUUUAUAAACCACCAGUGGCGAGCGCCGCACAUGAUGCCGCCUCUUGUCUUCUCCUUCACUAAGCUGCUUCCCCAUCUCUCGCCUUCUCCUUCAAUGAGCCGCAACCAACCACCACCAACGAAGGCGAUCCACACACAAACCACCAAAGGCGAACGCCUCUCAUGCUCGAUGCCGGCAUGACUGCACACAUCCAAUAGCCUUCUGGUUCUGGUGAUGGCAAUUUUGAGAAUUUGAUUUGUUGGUGGUGCUUGGGUGGCUAUGGCGGCGAUUUGUUUGAUUUGGUAGUGGCGGUUGUUUUGUUGGUGGUGGAUUCUUGAUGGCGGGUUUGUUGGAUUUUGUUAGUGGCGAUAAGGGUGACGAUGGUUUUGUUGGUGGUUGUGGUGCUGAGGUGAUGGUCGUUGAAACCCUAAUUUUUGUGGUGGUAACAAAUGUGGUGGUGAAGUGUUGGGGAUGGUGGCGAUCGAUGUGGCGGCAAAUUAGGAUGCAGUUAUUUGUUAUUAACAUUGCAAUAGGUUUUUCUUGCAUUCACAGUUUUGGCAUUCAUAGUCGUACCGUUCGUAUUAUUCUGCUAGUUGGUUGUCGCCUUUAGGCAGCAAUGGUGGUGAUUUUGGCAGCAACAAUGGUUUUGCUGCUAUUGGAGGCGGUGGUGAGGUGGUGGUCACAGGUUGUGAUUGUGGUCACAAGUCAUUUGGUUGACUGUGACCAUUAAAUAUGUUAACUUGUGACCAAUAAACAAUAUGUGAUCAAUAAAAAAAGAUAAUUUGUGAUCAAAAAAUAAUGUGUGAUCUAAAAAAUUGUUAAUUUGUGACAAAAAUUCGAUAAUUUGUGACCGUAUAAUAAAUUGUAAAUUAUAAUAUUUGUGAUUUGUGAUCGAUAAAUAAAUCAUCACUUAUAAAGUUUUGAUUUGUGAUCAAUGAACAAAUUGUGAUCUAUAAGAUUUUUAAAUUGUAUCCAUAAAAUAAUUUAUGACAUAAAUUUUUUAAUUUGUGACCAAAAAAAUAAUUAGUGGUUAACUAAAUCAUUAAUUUGUGAGCAAAUUAUAUAGAUUUGUAACCUAAAUAUAUUUAGUUAAUAAAAUAAAUAAAUAAUUAAAUAAAUCAUAAAUAAACUUUAAUAAAAAUCAAUUUUUGAAAUUCAAAACUUGUAAUUUUGAUUUUGAAAUGUAUGAUACUUAAAUUCUUACUAAUGAAAUUUUUCCCUCGUAAAAUUUUAUUAAAAUCUGCUUAAAAUUUAAUUUUAAUUUUCACCGGAUAAAAGCAUAGAGUAAUUAUCUUCCUAGUAAUUUAUCAUCUGUUAUGUUGAGAAAAAGUAGACUUAAGUGCCAUAGGUUCAUGUGACAUUUUAAAUCUUAUCGAUGAUUCAUUAACGUGUAUAGUCGCAAUGUUUAAUUUGGAUGAGUCUAAUGUCUAUCAUUAAUCAUGGAAGCUAAGAAAUUGACGACUGACUGACAUGAUUCACUACGGUGCUGCAAUGACGGAGAAAAAGGAAGUUGCUUGGUUCAGACUCGGGAAUAAUUUAUACUACGUAUUCUCAGGAGUUCAUUCUGUUUUGGAAAGAAUUAAUUUGCUACACAGUCUGUUUCUUCACUUUUUGACCAGAAAAAGAAAAUGAAAAGUGGUUUUAUUUAAAGUAAUAAUUAGAAGGUCUGUCUAACAAAACAUUAUCCUGAAAAUGUAAAACCGUCUAUUUUGCAAGAGAGAGAGAAGCAGCUAAGUCUGUAAAAGAGAGUUUCAAUGUAGCUUGAAGCAGCAGUCGAAAUAGCAACAGCAAAUUUGAAAGAGAUGGACUUGGACCAGUCAGCAUCAAUGAAGUUCCAAGUGUACACAUUUUCAAGAAUUUCAAUUGCCAACCUCGUCUAGAAAUUACAACAGAGCAAGAGCCAUAAUAAGGACCAUUUUAAAACACCUCUUAGGCUCUCAACAUCAGAUAUCAUUUUGCCUUUGUACCAGAAAUACCAACACUGGAACCAAAGAAAUUAUAGUAAAGGCUUUCUUCCUCAUAUAUUUAGCGAAGGAAAGAAAAUUAGCUUAUGUUAGUACUAUCAAAGCAAAGUGAGUCAAAUACAUUACACAAGUCUGUCUAUACAUCAUAUACAGAUAAGCAUUCCUCGAUGGAGACACGACAAAUCGGACAUUUCUUACAUUUAUCAGAGCAGUUACUGCAUCAGAUUAAAGACCAAUUAAUAUGCAAACAAAGAAUAUGAGCAGCAGAGAGAGAACUAGCAUAUUGAUCGUACCUGCACAGAAUGCGGUGCCUACAUGGAAGAAGAACUAGGCUAAUCUCUCCCUCGAAACAUAAUCUACAUAGAACUUUUUCCUGAACACAAUUACAAUAAAAUAGUUGGAAAAUCAACCUCAGAAUGAGCAUGUAGAUUUACAGAACAUGCGGACAGAAAAUUUAAGUCAAUAAAAGAAAACAUGUAUGCCUCUACUCUGAAGAAUCUGGACAUUUUAUAACAACUUGAGCUGAUAAUAAUUCAAUACCGAUCAGAAAAAAGUUUUCUUUAGGCUGCUUUAUGUUCUGUUCGGUCAAUCUUUAAGGUUGUUCAAUAUGCUAAGCAUCUAUCAAGAUGUAAAUGAUAAAAAAUAAGAUCUUUGAUACCAGAUGUACGGAAUAAAGAUAUGAUCUCUGACUAUAAAAGAGGUAGGUAACAUUGGAAAUUAUUAUUAUUAUUAUCAUCAUUACUUUGGGUUGAAAAAUAUAGAACUACUUUUAAAAUAAAACUUCUUGAAAAUUAAAUCCACUAGGGCAAAUGGAUAUUUAAAUGCCUGCACCGAUGAAUGAAUUCUAUUCUAGCAAAUAGUAAAGUUCACCAAAAUAAAUAAAAUAACAGCAUACAACAUGUUUCAUCAAAAUCAUAGGAGAUGAUAAUCACUAUGGCAUGGAAAAUUCAGUAUUAUAUGGCAGAGCAUCAACUACGUAAGAAACCAUUAGUCAAAACUAAGAUGGUUACAUGUUGUAGUCUUUCAUACUCCUGUUGGUUGAAUUUAGUAAUUUCCAUUUGCUCACCGAGAGCAGCUUGAAGUUUCCAAACCUAAAAACAAGAGGAUCAAACAAAAUAAUUAUGUAGAAAUUGAGAUGCAUGCACAUUGCAGUAUGCUGGAAUAAGAUGAGGAUUGCGUAGUCCAAAAAUAUGGUUAUAAUGUUCUACAUGGAAAUAUAAAUGCAACAAGAGAUUAUAUUUACCUCCUCAGCGAGAUCUUUCUUCGGCAGUUUCUUCACUAUAUCGGGAGGAUAACCACAAAAUGUGUUAUAACUGUAUCAUUUAUAACAGUAAAUCAUUGUGCUAAACGACCACAUUGAACCUGUCUAAACUUGUAGCAUCACAUAAGAUUUGAUGCAAGAUAUAACGCAAAUGAAGUUAAUUGUUAUGGAAGCGCAAUUGAAAACAAAUCAAGAACUCAAUAAAGGUCAAGAUCCGAAGAAAAGCAAUCAAAAACAUUUCUUAUUUCAAAUUAAAUAGUAGUAAAGAUGCUAGGGAAAAAGCACAGCAACUCGCAUCGCCCAACUUUUUGUAGUAGGUUGAAUUAGUUUCCAUGAUAUAUAUGAGUUUGUUUGAGCCCCAUUUUUUGGGGUUUAUAGAUUUUUUUUAAAAGAAUGUGUGAUUAAAAAGUAAGGGAAAAAAUUUGUAUUUACAUGUAAAAUUAUUUUAUUGAGAGACCAUAAGGCUGAAAAUGAGUUUAAAGAAAUGAGAUUUUUAAAAAUAAAGCUCAAAUGGUGGUUAUGUAAACUUGCACUAUAAAUACAAUAAUCUAUUUGCCACAUUAUUUGCCUUUUAUAAAGAAAGUGCAUGUUAUUAAUGUGAAUCAAAAGCAAACUUCUUUUAUUAGGAUCUAUGAUGAUCGAACUCGAGUAUGAGCAUCAGGUAUGGGUAUGUAUCUAAGUGUCGAAUCUUUUAUUUUCCAAAAUGUAGGAUACAAGAACAUGACUAAAAAGAGUCUAAAUUUUGGAUACAAGUAUAUGGGUAUGUCUUUCAAGCUUCAAUUUUUUUACUAACUCAAGAUAUUAUUUUGAAUAAACCAAAAUCAGUUGUUUAAUUCAAAACCAUUAGUGACUUAGAUGACAAAAAAUUCCAAAGGAGACACUGUUCACUGACCAGUUAGCCACGGUGUCAACACAUCUAAUUGAUACCUCAAGGUGCAUACAAAGGAGGACUUGAAAACCAAUUAUUGGAAUUUUCAUAAUGUGGCCACCAAUGUCUUGCAUGCCACACAUUCUAUUCCGAGACUGAUCCUCUAAAGAUACCACCAAGCCACUGUUCCAGUCUAGAUAUCUAAUAGCAGUU
rnacentral:lncRNA from 1 species